rnacentral:rRNA from 1 species
UACGGAGGGUGCAAGCGUUAAUCGGAAUUACUGGGCGUAAAGCGCGCGUAGGCGGCAAAUCAAGUUGAGUGUGAAAGCCUCGGGCUUAACCUGGGAACUGCAUUCAAAACUGAUUAGCUAGAGUAUAGUAGAGGAUGGUGGAAUUUCCUGUGUAGCGGUGGAAUGCAUAGAUAUAGGAAGGAACAUCAGUGGCGAAGGCGGCCAUCUGGACUAAUACUGACGCUGAGGUGCGAAAGCGUGGGGAGCAAACAGG